rnacentral:lncRNA from 1 species
CCACCUACAUCCACACCUCCUCCUGGUUCCACCUCCAUCACUCUCUCCUCCUGUUCUCUCUGUGUUGUCAUGUGUUGGAUCCGUCUGUGUUGUGGUUCUACUGGUGUUACUGGUUCUGCUGGUGAGACAGUGUGUUCACAGAAAACCUGAAGACAUUGAUACAGCUGUGGUGUACUCAGCAGUGAGAACUGAAGAUGUCACUUAUGAACAAAUAGCCAUCAAACCAAAGAAGAUCAGAGGUACAGCUGAUUGUCUUUAGGUCUGAACAGAGUAAAAACCAAAAGAGUAAAUGUCCUCACGUUUCCAUUCUAACUUAGCUAACCCUGAAAUUAUAUCAUCA